AUGAGCCCCAGAACAGUUCUCUGCAACGCUUUCUUGCUCGACCCCGUCCCGCCCGGGGCUGUUGCCCAGGACGAUCUCGCAGCCCAGCGCUGCCUCGCCCGGCCCGACCUCCGGCCCAUCUUAAGCCUGCAACUGCUCACCAGCGGGCGGCUUCCGCUGGGGCUCGGGCCAAGUCCGGGUUCGAAAACCUUCCUUUCACGGCCGGAGCUAGGAGGAGCUUCUGGGCGAGGGGAAAGGCAAAGUACUCCCAGAGAUUGCAAAACUUACACUCCAAAGAGCAAUUUCUCUUCAGCUUCCCCGCUGAUCCUACCCAGAGCCAAACACAACCCCCUUCUGUGCCCAUCCUCCCGCCCGUCCUGGUCCCUGCUGCAGGAGACAAGCUGGGGAAUAACCCCGGGGCAAUCUCCCUGGAGCAGCACGGCAGGACGUUCCUGGAGGGCCGGCCGGUCUGUCACGCACCUCGCCCUUUGCCCUCCGGGCAGGAGCCCUGAUCCCGGCAAGAACCACUCACUCCACCGGGCUGGAGCCACCCGCCCCCGCCGCGACCCCCGCCCGCCGCCGCGGUACCGUCUGCCCGGGCCGACACAGCUCCGACACUGCACCGAAACAGCGCCAACACAGCUCCGACACGGCGCCCGGCCCCCGACACACGACCCUCCCGCCCCGUCAGGCGGCCGCUCCUCCCCUGGGCUGCCGCCGCGGCCCGGCCGUGCCCACCGCCCGCCCCGCCGGGCGCAUCACCAAACCCAAGCAGCGCAGCUCAGGGAAAAGCCUCCCCCAGCCUUGUCCCUGCGGUCUUGCCGAGUUUCUGUUGCAAAAUGUGGAAUAUGUAAACAUUUUCUUGACAAAGGAUGUGCUUUGAUGUUUGAUCUUUGUGAAAAACGCGUAUUUUAUGAUUGGCUUUUCGCAAAUAUUAUAAUGAGUAUUAUAUGUGUUGUGUUAGAAAGUAAUGUUGUAUUAAUUCUCUUAAGUGGUGUGUUAAAUAUAGUUUCAGGUUAUAAAAAUGUUAAAAUAGAAACUAUGCUAUGUAGGAUACUUUUCUUAAAGAAAGGACUUGCAGCGAGAUAA
rnacentral:lncRNA from 1 species